AUGGAGGCGACCCUGUCCCCAAAACCUCACUUCGUGGUCAUCCCAUGGCCAACCACCAGCCACAUCAUCCCCAUCGUCGACAUCGGCUGCCUCCUCGCCCUGCACGGCGCCGCAGUCACCAUCCUCACGACGCCCGCCAGCGCGCAGCUCGUCCAGAGCCGCGUGGACCGCGUCGGCGCCCAGGGCGACUCUGCCGGGAUCGAGGUCGCCGUGAUCCCGUACCCGUCCGUCGAGGCCGGGCUGCCGGAGGGGUGCGAGAGGCUGGACCACGUCCCCUCGCCCGACUUGGUGCCCAGCUUCUUCGACGCCACCACGCGAUUCGGCGACGCGGUGGCACGGCACUGCCGACUCAUGGCGUCGCCGCGGCGUCCGAGCUGCGUCAUCGCCGGAAUGUGCAACACGUGGGCGAGCGGCAUCGCGCGUGAGCUCGGCGUGCCCUGCUAUAUCUUCCAAGGCUUCUCCGCGUUCGCGUUGCUGUGCUGCGAGUACCUGCACACGCACAAGCCGCACGAGGCGGUCGCGUCGCCAGACGAGCUCUUCGACGUCCCGGUCCUGCCGCCCUUCGAGUGCAAGUUCGCGAGGAGGCAGCUUCCGCUGCAGUUCCUACCGUCCUGCUCCAUCGAUGCGGAGAGUCUGCAAGAGCUCCGCGAGUUCGAGUUGGCCGUCGACGGCAUCGUGGUGAACAGCUUCGAAGAACUAGAGCACGACUCCGCUGCGCGCCUCGCCGCAGCCACCGGCAAGACCGUGCUCGCCGUCGGGCCAGUUUCCCUGUGCCACGCGCCUGCUCUGGACGUCUCAGACGAUGCAACGCGGUGCAUGGCGUGGCUGGACGCCAAGAAGGCCAAGUCCGUGCUCUACGUCAGCUUCGGCAGCGCCGGGCGCAUGCCCCCGGCGCAGCUCAUGGAGCUCGGCAUGGCGCUCGUGUCGUGCCCCUGGCCUGUCCUGUGGGUCAUCAAGGGCGCCGACGCGUUGCCCGACGAUGUCAAGAUGUGGUUACAGGAGAACACGGACGCUGACGGCCUCGCGGACAGCCAGUGCCUUGCGGUGCGCGGCUGGGCGCCGCAGGUACCCAUCCUGUCGCACCCGGCCGUGGCGGGCUUCAUGACGCACUGCGGAUGGGGCUCCACGCUGGAGAGCGUCGCCGCAGGCGUGCCCAUGGCCGCCUGGCCGUUCACCGCGGAGCAGUUCCUGAACGAGAAGCUGAUCGUGAACGUGCUCGGGAUCGGCGUCUCCGUCGGCGUGACCAAGCCCACGGAGGGCGUGCUGACGGGUGGCAGCGGCGGGGCGAAGGUGGAGGUCGGGAUGGAACAGGUGAAGAGCGCCUUGGAGAAGCUCAUGGACGGAGGAGCCGAAGGGGAAGAUAGGAUUAGGAAGGUUCAGGAGCUGAAGGCGAAAGCGAAGGCUGCUUUGGAGAACGGCGGGUCGUCGUGCAUGAAUCUGGACAAGCUGGUCCAAUCCGUCGUCUGA
rnacentral:rRNA from 1 species